rnacentral:rRNA from 1 species
UACGUAGGGGUCAGCAGUCGUUCGGAUUCGAUUUGUGGCGUAAAGAGCGUGUAGGCGGUUUGGUAGGUCCGUUGUGAAAACUCGAGGCUCAGCCUCGAGACGCCGAUGGAAACCAUCAGACUAGAGUCCGGAAGAGGAGAGUGGAAUUCCUGGUGUAGCGGUGAAAUGCGCAGAUAUCAGGAAGAACACCCGUGGCUAAGGCGGCUCUCUAGUACGGUACUGACGCUGAGACGCGAAAGCGUGGGGAGCGAACAGG